rnacentral:rRNA from 1 species
UAGGGAAUCUUCGGCAAUGGGGGCAACCCUGACCGAGCAACGCCGCGUGAGUGAAGAAGGUUUUCGGAUCGUAAAGCUCUGUUGUAAGAGAAGAACGUGUGUGAGAGUGGAAAGUUCACACAGUGACGGUAACUUACCAGAAAGGGACGGCUAACUACGUGCCAGCAGCCGCGGUAAUACGUAGGUCCCGAGCGUUGUCCGGAUUUAUUGGGCGUAAAGCGAGCGCAGGCGGUUUAAUAAGUCUGAAGUUAAAGGCAGUGGCUUAACCAUUGUUCGCUUUGGAAACUGUUAAACUUGAGUGCAGAAGGGGAGAGUGGAAUUCCAUGUGUAGAGGUGAAAUGCGUAGAUAUAUGGAGGAACACCGGUGGCGAAAGCGGCUCUCUGGUCUGUAACUGACGCUGAGGCUCGAAAGCGUGGGGAGCAAACAGG